rnacentral:ncRNA from 1 species
GAGGCAAUAGCUUACCAAGGCGAUGAUCAGUAGCUGGUCCGAGAGGAUGAUCAGCCACACUGGGACUGAGACACGGCCCAGACUCCUACGGGAGGCAGCAGUGGGGAAUUUUCCGCAAUGGGCGAAAGCCUGACGGAGCAAUGCCGCGUGGAGGUUGAAGGCCUACGGGUCGUCAACUUCUUUUCUCGGAGAAGAAACAAUGACGGUAUCUGAGGAAUAAGCAUCGGCUAACUCUGUGCCAGCAGCCGCGGUAAGACAGAGGAUGCAAGCGUUAUCCGGAAUGAUUGGGCGUAAAGC